AGUGAACGCUGGCGGUAGGCCUAACACAUGCAAGUCGAACGGCAGCACAGUAAGAGCUUGCUCUUACGGGUGGCGAGUGGCGGACGGGUGAGGAAUACAUCGGAAUCUACUUUUUCGUGGGGGAUAACGUAGGGAAACUUACGCUAAUACCGCAUACGACCUACGGGUGAAAGCAGGGGAUCUUCGGACCUUGCGCGAUUGAAUGAGCCGAUGUCGGAUUAGCUAGUUGGCGGGGUAAAGGCCCACCAAGGCGACGAUCCGUAGCUGGUCUGAGAGGAUGAUCAGCCACACUGGAACUGAGACACGGUCCAGACUCCUACGGGAGGCAGCAGUGGGGAAUAUUGGACAAUGGGCGCAAGCCUGACCCAGCCAUACCGCGUGGGUGAAGAAGGCCUUCGGGUUGUAAAGCCCUUUUGUUGGGAAAGAAAAGCAGCAGGUUAAUACCCCGCUGUUCUGACGGUACCCAUAGAAUAAGCACCGGCUAACUUCGU
rnacentral:rRNA from 1 species